CAAGGAAUUUUCCGCAAUGGGCGCAAGCCUGACGGAGCAACGCCGCGUGCAGGAAGACGGCCUUCGGGUUGUAAACUGCUUUUGUUGGGGAAGAUACGGACGGUACCCAACGAAUAAGCCCCGGCUAACUCCGUGCCAGCAGCCGCGGUAAGACGGUGGGGGCAAGCGUUGUCCGGACUCACUGGGCGUAAAGGGCGUGCAGGCGGCUCUGUGCGUCGGCGCUGAAAGCGCCCGGCUUAACCGGGCGAGGUGCGUCGAUACGAUAGAGCUUGAGGCAAGGAGAGGCUAGCGGAAUUCCGGGUGUAGUGGUGAAAUGCGUAGAGAUCCGGAGGAACGCCCGUGGCGUAAGCGGCUAGCUAGUCUUGACCUGACGCUGAGGCGCGAAAGCGUGGGGAGCGAACCGGAUUAGAUACCCGUGUAGUCC
rnacentral:rRNA from 1 species